AACGAACGCUGGCGGCAUGCCUAACACAUGCAAGUCGAACGAGACCUUCGGGUCUGGUGGCGCACGGGUGCGUAACGCGUGGGAACCUGCCCUUAGGUUCGGAAUAACUCCCCGAAAGGGGUGCUAAUACCGGAUAAUGUCUUCGGACCAAAGAUUUAUCGCCUUUGGAUGGGCCUGCGUUGGAUUAGCUUGUUGGUAGGGUAAAAGCCUACCAAGGCGACGAUCCAUAGCUGGUCUGAGAGGAUGAUCAGCGACACUGGGACUGAGACACGGCCCAGACUCCUACGGGAGGCAGCAGUGGGGAAUAUUGGAAAAUGGGCGAAAGCCUGAUCCAGCAAUGCCGCGUGAGUGAUGAAGGCCGUAGGGUUGUAAAGCUCUUUUACCCGGGAUGAUAAUGACAGUACCGGGAGAAUAAGCUCCGGCUAACUCCGUG
rnacentral:rRNA from 1 species